GACCUCGGCUCCGGGAGCGACAAAGGUCGGGUGGGUCUAUAGGGUUGGGGUGCCCCCGGCGCCCCCUGCCAUGCGCCCCCCGCACCCUCGACCCGCGCUGCUUCCGCUCCUGGUCGCGCUUCUGGCCGCGUCUCCAGCGGCUGCCGAGGCUCCGCACCUGGUGCGCGUGGACGCGGCCCGAGCGCUACGGCCCCUGCGGCCCUUCUGGAGGAGCACCGGCUUCUGUCCCCCACUGCCGCACAGCCAAGCUGACCAGUAUGACCUCAGCUGGGACCAGCAGCUCAACCUGGCCUACGUGGGUGCCGUCCCUCACGGCGGCAUCCAGCAGGUUCGGACCCACUGGAUGCUGGACCUCGUCACGGCCAGGGGGUCAGCUGGGCAUGGCCUGAGCUACAACUUCACUCAGCUGGACCGGUACCUGGACCUUCUCAGGGAGAACCAGCUCCUCCCGGGCUUUGAGCUGAUGGGCAGCCCCUCCGGACACUUCACCGACUUUGAGGACAAGCAGCAGGUGUUUGAGUGGAAGAACCUGGUCUCCCUCCUGGCCAGGAGAUACAUCGCUAGGUAUGGACUCAAGCAUGUUUCCAAGUGGAAUUUUGAGACAUGGAAUGAGCCGGACCACCAUGACUUUGACAACGUCUCCAUGACUUUGCAAGGCUUCUUGAACUACUACGAUGCCUGCUCUGAGGGUCUGCGUGCUGCCAGCCCGGUUCUGCGCCUGGGUGGCCCUGGGGACUCCUUCCACCCACCACCGGGCUCCCCACUGUGCUGGGGCCUCCUGGGACACUGUCACAAUGGCACAAACUUCUUCACCGGGGAGGUGGGCGUGCGGCUGGACUACAUCUCCCUCCACAAGAAGGGCGCAGGCAGCUCCAUCCGCAUCCUGGAGCAGGAGGUGGCAGUCGUGGGGCAGAUACAGCGGCUCUUCCCCAAGUUCACUGACACCCCCCUUUACAAUGAUGAGGCGGACCCACUGGUGGGCUGGUCCCUGCCGCAGCCCUGGAGGGCCGACGUGACCUACGCUGCCAUGGUCGUGAAGGUCAUCGCGCAGCACCAGAACCUGCUGGUGGCCAACACCAGCUCCGCCGUGCACUACGCGCUCCUGAGCAAUGACAACGCUUUCCUGAGUUACCACCCGCACCCCUUCUCACAGCGCACACUCACCGCACGCUUCCAGGUCAACAACACACGCCCACCGCACGUGCAGCUGCUGCGCAAGCCAGUGCUCACAGCCAUGGCACUACUGGCCCUGCUGGACGGUGAGCAGCUCUGGGCCGAGGUGUCUCAGGCUGGGAUGGUGCUGGACAGCAACCACACGGUGGGCGUCCUGGCCAGCACCCACCGCCCAACUGGCCCCGCUGACACCUGGCGUGCCACGGUGCUGGUCUACGCGAGCAAUGACACCCAUGCCCACGCCAACCGCAGCGUCACCUUGACCCUACGCCUGCAUGGGGUGCCCCCCGGCCCAGCAUCUGGCUCUGCAGGGCUCGUCUUUGUAACACUCUACAUGGACAACUGGUCCUGCAGCCCCCACCGUGAGUGGCAGCGCCUCGGCAGGCCGGUCUUCCCCUCUGCGGAGCAGUUCCAGCGCAUGCGCGCGGCUGAGGUGACUCGGCUCCGUGCUCUGCCCUUGACCCGUGGGCAGCUGCUUUUGGUCUGGUCGGAUGUGCGUGUGGGCUCCAAGUGCGUGCCUGUGGACCUAUGAGAUCCAGUUCUCCCCGGAUGGUGGGGCGUACGCGCCCAUCAGCAGGAAGCCUUCGACCUUUAACCUCUUCGUGUUCAGCCCAGACGGGGCCGUCAUCUCUGGCUCCUACCGGGUUCGUGCAGUGGACUACUGGGCCCGGCCAGGCCCCUUCUCGAGUUCUGUGCAGUAUCUGGAGGUCCCGGCACCCUGAGGGCCGCUGCUGCCCGGCGAUGAGCCUGUGCUGACCGGUGAGCUGGGGCGGCCAGGGGCCAUGCUGGGCUGGACCACCAUCAGCCUGUCCGACAGUCACCCCCUCUGUUUGCCCCUCCUGCCCCUCACUCAACCUCUUAAAGUGCCUUUCCACACACA